UAGAAGGAGUGUUUUGUGCUUGUUACCUGAAACUAAAGGAAAAACAAUAAUAGCAUGCUAAGAAAGAGUUGCUGAGAGACUAUAAGUAUAUAUAUAUAUAUAUAACUGAGAUUGCAUGUGGAUAUGUGGAGGAAGGCAAGUUCUGAAGUUCAGGAUGAGACACAAAACUUUGGGGUUGACUAUUCAAUUUUCGUCAAUUGCAGGCUUCCGUAGUUUGUAAUGUAGUUAUGCGUCUUGUCGGCAAAGAUUUUUUUUUGUUUUUUAGUAAAAGGGAAGUAACUCUUCAAUUUUUCUGAAAGUAAUUUGGGAUGUAACACGUCAAUUUGUCUGAAAAUUACAAGUUACUUUCAAAGUAUUGUUAGGGUCUUUGGACUGAGAUUCUUAAUGUAUACAGAUUUCUGAGAUGUAUACACAAGUUUUAGGGAUUAUUUACAAAUAUUUCAGGGGUGGAGUGAAAAAUGCAAUGUUCUUCUGUUCUAGUGGUUGUUGCUAAAAGCAGGGCUGUGAGACAAGAUGAGGAACAGACAAAUGAAGAGAAGAGUAGCAAAGCUACCAGAGCAGUACAGCUUCCUCACUUUAGACGAGUUGCAUGACUAUUUUCAAUUGGGAAGGAUCAUGAGGAAUCUCAAAGAAAGAGAUGAAAAUAUUUGUGAUGGAGUCUGAGACCUAGCCUUCAAGGUACAAGAAUGAAAUGGGACAGUUGGAAGUUGAAAGAGCGUAUGAGGGGUGAGGGAUGUUCUUAAAGAUGUACAUGUUUAUAUGUUAUAUAUGAAAAUACAAUUCACUUUCGACAAAAAUUGCAGCUGACCACGAUGCACCUCGCUGAACAACCAUAAUUGCAUUAUUGCAAGUCUACAGCCCAAUAUGCUGCACUCAAAAUCUCUACAACAACAGUGAUUCCGAACAGGGGCCACAAACCCCACAGGUGAAAACUGGGUAAAUUUUGGUGGUGCGUGGGAUCCAAUUUUUUUUUUUUCUUUCAUGUGAGACAUAUAUUGCCAACAUCAACUCUGAAUGUUGAUUUUUUGCUUUGCAUUUUUCCAUUUCUUUCUCUUCCUAUAUUUGAUAUGUAUUCAUUUGUCUGUAAAUGAUACUGUAUCCGUUUCUCUGCAUUACACACAAAAUCACACAUUCUCAAUAUCAUACGCAUCUGUAUAGUUCGAUCUUUGUCGUUUUGUCACUAGAAACGGGGUAGAGUAAUAACUAACACUUUCUUUUUCCGACCAGAUAUUCGAAACCGAAUCUAAGGAUUCUCGCUCGUCUGACCCACCACUGGCCAAACAGGCGCGAAAGAAAUUUCUUUGUCCUGUCAAAAAAUGAUGGAUGGAUUUCACUUCGACCCCCCGACCUGAGCUGUGUCACUUAAAGUUCAAGUGGACAAGAGGUGACCUACAUAAAUAGAAAUUACUCCUGUGAUACGUCUGUCCUUCUAGCUGGGAUGAACAUCAUACAGUCAGACAUACGACAGAAGAAGAGACAGCCAGCAAGAGGCAAACCGUCCACCGACAGCAGUUCACUUGUGCCAGUCAAGCAACCAACACAGAACCACGUAUUCAGCAUGUACGAUCCAACACAGUAGUAGUCGCAGAAUAUAAACAGACACCACCGAAUGACCAACACACAGACACAAAACAUACCCAGUUCUACCUGAUAACAUCGUCACAGGAUUUCCCAAGUUUAUUCUAUUAUUUCCCAGCUCGAAGCAAGUUGGUAAUAUCGUGUAACGAAUUUUCUAGUGUCGGUUAAAUACUUUAUUUCAACCACAAUCCGAUGCUUUCCCAUUGAUGUCGUCCACAUGCCUAUUUCACCUCCGACCUCAACAACAUCUUAGGCGACGCAUCUCGCUACACUACUUUCGUAUCCAUCGCCAGUUCUCAAAAUCGACCUCGGCGGAAUUUGAACUAACAACGUAAACACCAACGGAAUGGUGCUAAGCAUUUUGCCCGGCUUCGUAAUGAUUCUGCCAGCUUGCCGCUUUCCCUGUGCGGGAUCGAACCCUAGUCACAGACUACAGAAAGUGAAAGAAAAUACUCAAUACAAACAAAACAUGAUGGAGUAGAGCCACCUACUGGAUCAUUCGGGAAAUAACCUUGUUAAAGGGAAACAACCUCUUCAGACUAUUCUUUCCAACGGGCACCUGCUGCGCUGUUUACGUUUUGAAAUGAAUAGCGGAAACUGUGACAUGAAAGAAUUGCUUACAUCAGAUUCAUCAUCAACAUUAAUUAUCUCUUAAAGACUAAAGAAAAACGUUACAUGCAACAAAUGUAUAACUCUAUGGUAAACUACAGUGAAAUAUUUCUUCUGAAUGGAGAUCAAUGGCAGCAUUUCUCUCCUGUACAGUCUGUAAUAUGUACAAGAUGGAUGAAGUUUCAAAUAUGUUUGUGGCAUCUUCAGAUAUUGGUGAAAAUCAGAAUUCAUGGGAAAAAUAGCUGUGAAACAUUUGAAAGAAAUAAUUGAUAAAAAAUGAAAUAUGAAAAAUAUAUAUUGUUCUGAGAGAAGAAAACUAUUGAAACAAUGGCUAAUGUUACAGACUUAAAGGAUUGAUACAUUAUUUUGUUGAAGAGAUGCAAAAAGAGACUGAAAAAUCCUCAUACCAUUGUGGUAUCUGUCAAAAAUCAUUUUCUCUGGAAAGUAACCUCAUGAAUCACAAAUGAAUCGAUAGAAGUGAGAAACCAUAUCCCUGUGUUAUUGUGGUAAAUCAUUCUCUAAAAAUACUCACUUAGCUGAACACAGACGCAUUCAUACAGGUGAGAGGCGAUAUCAUUACGGUGUCUUUGGUCAAUCAUUCUCUA
rnacentral:lncRNA from 1 species